UACGGAGGGUGCAAGCGUUAUCCGGAUUCACUGGGUUUAAAGGGUGCGUAGGUGGGCAAGUAAGUCAGUGGUGAAAUCUCCGGGCUUAACCCGGAAACUGCCAUUGAUACUAUUUGUCUUGAAUACUGUGGAGGUCAGCGGAAUAUGUCAUGUAGCGGUGAAAUGCUUAGAUAUGACAUAGAACACCAUUGCGAAGGCAGCUGGCUACACAAAUAUUGACACUGAGGCACGAAAGCGUGGGGAGUCAAACAGGA
rnacentral:rRNA from 1 species